rnacentral:rRNA from 1 species
GUCCACGCAGUAAACGAUGUUCACUAGGUGUUGGUCUCGUUUCGACGAGGUCAGUGCCGACGCUAACGCAUUAAGUGAACCACCUGGGGAGUACAGUCGCAAGGCUGAAACUCAAAGAAAUUGACGGGGACCCCGCACAAACGGUGGAGCAUGUGGUUUAAUACGACGAUACGCGUGGAACCUUACCCAGGCUUGACAUGUACUGGAAAGCCCUAUGAAAGUAGGGCCCUCCCUCAAGGACUGGUACACAGGUGUUGCAUGGCUGUCGU